CCCGACCUCAGAUUAGUC
rnacentral:rRNA from 1 species